GGAUAUUGGGGCACAAGCACUUUGCCGGGAAUUUUGAUUUCGAGAGUUUAUUUAUAUAUUAUACGAAUUAUCGGUGAUAUUAUUACAGAAUAACAAUGAAAAUGCAUAAUCAAGGAGUUAAAGUAGUAAAAUGAUUUUCAAUGAAAUAUAAUGGAGUUUGAGUCGCAUGGAAAAAUGACUGAACGUCUUUGAAUUUUGGAAAAUUCACAUAUUAUCGCUCAUACAGUUUAUAAAUCAGUAUGCAGAGGGAACUUAGUAGCUUCCCCAUUCAACCCUCUUUGAUGUCAAAACUUACAAAAGCUGGAUUUACUACUGUAGAAGAUCUCACUGAUUUGAAACCACUUCAACUGAGUCAAGAACUGUCAAUAUCUAAUGAAGAGGCUCUGGAUCUACUGAACCUUGUGCGAGGUGAACAUCCAUCCAAAUUGAAACUUAAACAGACAACAAGUUUUACAGCUUUUGAUAUGCUUCAGAAUGAAGAGAGCCAGCAAUGUAUUGUAACAUUCUCAGAGCAACUUGACAAUAUGCUUGGUGGGGGGCUCCCAGUUUGUAAGAUUACAGAAUUCUGCGGUGCUCCUGGUGCAGGGAAAACCCAAAUAAGCAUCCAGUUGUCUGUUGACGUUCAGAUCCCUACUUGUUUUGGUGGGCUACAGGGUGAGGCUGUUUAUAUUGAUACAGAGGGGAGCUUUGUCGCAGCUAGGGCUGCAGAUAUUGCCAAAGCUACAGUGGAGCAUUGCAGUAAUAUUGCACAGGCUGAGAAUAAUGAAGAACAGCUGAAGUCAAUGGAGGCAUUCACUUGGGAAAGUGUCUUAGCAGGAAUUCACUACUAUAGGUGUAAUGACUAUCUACAACUGCUAGCUACAGUUCACCUUCUACCAGAAUUUCUCACUCAACAUCCAAAGGUCAAGUUAAUUGUAGUUGACAGUAUAGCAUUCCACUUCAGACAUGAUUUUGAUGACUUCUCACUGAGGACCAGAAUCCUGAAUGGCAUGGCACAGAGCUUUAUUAAACUUGCAACUCAGCUGAAUCUAGCAGUUAUGCUGACGAACCAAAUGACGACUCGAGUGAACGCAGAUGGAGGGUCACACCUCACCCCUGCUCUGGGAGAAAGCUGGGGGCAUGCAAGUACCAUCAGGGUGAUACUAUACUGGCGAGAUAGACAGAGAUAUGCAAGACUAUACAAGUCACCCUCAAAGCAAGAUAUGACAGUGCCAUUCCAAGUGACAUUGGGCGGAAUCAGAGAUGUGAAAACAAGUGAAGACCAAAGUCAUAAUAUGCAAGGUGCCAGUACAUCACAACAUAAACCUCAGUCCAAUUAUGAACAAAAUACAAAUGAACAUAAUACUAAGAAUGCCCAAUAUCAGACAGCAUCAUCUAGUGAACCUUAUCAUACUGGGGGUACGGAAAGAGCAUAUGGAAGUGGACAAGAUCGGAAAAGGUCAAGAAUUGAUUCCUGAUGUAAUACUACAUACUUGGUGUAUUUAGACAUCCAUCUUAUGAAAACCUCUGUUGGGUUGGCCAAAAACAAAUUUUAUAAGGAAACCUCACCCAAGAUGGACUGUAUGAGACAAAAUCGCAAGAGGCCAAGAUUUGAUUCCUGGUGUAUUUACAUUUAAUUAGAUAUCAAUUUUAUAAAAUCCUCAGUCUGGUUGGCCAAAUUAAGUAAAACCUCAUCCUAGAUGGACUGUAUAAGAGACAACAU
rnacentral:misc_RNA from 1 species